rnacentral:rRNA from 1 species
CUUUUGGGUAUGAAACCCAUUUGGGCGAGAGUAGUACUAGGAUGGGUGACCUCCUGGGAAGUCCUCGN